CCUACGGGUGGCAGCAGUGGGGGAUAUUGCACAAUGGGGGAAACCCUGAUGCAGCGACGCCGCGUGUGGGAAGACGGUUCUCUGGAUUUUAAACCACUGUCACCAGGGACCAAAAUGAAGGUACCUGGGGAAGAAGCUCCGGCAAACUACGUGCCAGCAGCCGCGGUAAUACGUAGGGAGCGAGCGUUUUCCGGAAUUACUGGGUGUAAAGGGAGAGUAGGCGGGGAUGCAAGUUGGGUGUCAAAACUACCGGCUCAACUGGGAGUCGCACUGAAAACUGCAGCUCUUGAGUGAAUGAGAGGCAGGCGGAAUUCCUAGUGUAGCGGUGAAAUGCGUAGAUAUUAGGAGGAACACCAGUGGCGAAGGCGGCCUGCUGGACUUUAACUGACGCUGAGGCUCGAAAGUGUGGGGAGCAAACAGGAUUAGAUACCCGUGUAGUC
rnacentral:rRNA from 1 species